GAUGAACGCUGGCGGCGUGCCUAAUACACGCAAGUCGUGCGAACGGACGAGAAGCUUGCUUCUCUGAUGUUAGCGGCGGACGGGUGAGUAACACGUGGAUAACCUACCUAUAAGACUGGGAUAACUUCGGGAAACCGGAGCUAAUACCGGAUGAUAUUUUGAACCGCAUGGUUCAAAAGUGAAAGACGGUCUUGCUGUCACUUAUAGAUGGAUCCGCGCUGCAUUAGCUAGUUGGUAAGGUAACGGCUUACCAAGGCAACGAUGCAUAGCCGACCUGAGAGGGUGAUCGGCCACACUGGAACUGAGACACGGUCCAGACUCCUACGGGAGGCAGCAGUAGGGAAUCUUCCGCAAUGGGCGAAAGCCUGACGGAGCAACGCCGCGUGAGUGAUGAAGGUCUUCGGAUCGUAAAACUCUGUUAUUAGGGAAGAACAUAUGUGUAAGUAACUGUGCACAUCUUGACGGUACCUAAUCAGAAAGCCACGGCUAACUACGUG
rnacentral:rRNA from 1 species